GAGUUUGAUCGUGGCUCAGGAUGAACGCUGGCGGCGUGCCUAAUACAUGCAAGUAGAACGCUGAAGCUUGGUGCUUGCACCGAGCGGAUGAGUUGCGAACGGGUGAGUAACGCGUAGGUAACCUGCCUGGGUAGCGGGGAUAACUAUUGGAAACGAUAGCUAAUACCGCAUAACAGUAGAUAUUGCAUGAUAUCUGCUUGAAAGGUGCAAUUGCAUCACUACCAGAUGGACCUGCGUUGUAUUAGCUAGUUGGUGAGGUAACGGCUCACCAAGGCGACGAUACAUAGCCGACCUGAGAGGGUGAUCGGCCACACUGGGACUGAGACACGGCCCAGACUCCUACGGGAGGCAGCAGUAGGGAAUCUUCGGCAAUGGGGGGAACCCUGACCGAGCAACGCCGCGUGAGUGAAGAAGGUUUUCGGAUCGUAAAGCUCUGUUGUAAGAGAAGAACGAGUGUGAGAGUGGAAAGUUCACACUGUGACGGUAUCUUACCAGAAAGGGACGG
rnacentral:rRNA from 1 species